UGCGUAGGCGGCAUUAUAAGUCAGAGGUGAAAGCUUGCAGCUUAACUGUGAAAUUGCCUUUGAUACUGUAGUGCUUGAAUUAGGCUGAGGUUAGCGGAAUGUGUCAUGUAGCGGUGAAAUGCAUAGAUAUGACAUAGAACACCAAUUGCGAAGGCAGCUAACUAGACCUAUAUUGACGCUGAGGCACGAAAGCGUGGGGAGCGAACAGGAUUAGAUACCCUGGUAGUCC
rnacentral:rRNA from 1 species